rnacentral:rRNA from 1 species
AAACCAACCGGGAUUGCCUUAGUAACGGCGAGUGAAGCGGCAAAAGCUCAAAUUUGAAAUCUGGUACCUUCGGUGCCCGAGUUGUAAUUUGGAGAGGGCAACUUUGGGGCCGUUCCUUGUCUAUGUUCCUUGGAACAGGACGUCAUAGAGGGUGAGAAUCCCGUGUGGCGAGGAGUGCGGUUCUUUGUAAAGUGCCUUCGAAGAGUCGAGUUGUUUGGGAAUGCAGCUCUAAGUGGGUGGUAAAUUCCAUCUAAAGCUAAAUAUUGGCGAGAGACCGAUAGCGAACAAGUACAGUGAUGGAAAGAUGAAAAGAACUUUGAAAAGAGAGUGAAAAAGUACGUGAAAUUGUUGAAAGGGAAGGGCAUUUGAUCAGACAUGGUGUUUUGUGCCCUCUGCUCCUUGUGGGUAGGGGAAUCUCGCAUUUCACUGGGCCAGCAUCAGUUUUGGUGGCAGGAUAAAUCCAUAGGAAUGUAGCUUGCCUCGGUAAGUAUUAUAGCCUGUGGGAAUACUGCCAGCUGGGACUGAGGACUGCGACGUAAGUCAAGGAUGCUGGCAUAAUGGUUAU